GUCGUCAUCGUAUAGUGGUCAGUAUCCCCGCCUGUCACGCGGGAGGCCGGGGUUCGAUUCCCCGUGACGGCG